AGAGUUUGAUCCUGGCUCAGAACGAACGCUGGCGGCAGGCUUAACACAUGCAAGUCGAGCGCACUCUUCGGAGUGAGCGGCGGACGGGUGAGUAACGCGUGGGAACAUACCUUUCACUGCGGAAUAGCCUCUGGAAACGGAGAGUAAUACCGCAUACGCCCUUUGGGGGAAAGAUUUAUCGGUGAGAGAUUGGCCCGCGUUGGAUUAGGUAGUUGGUGGGGUAAUGGCCCACCAAGCCGACGAUCCAUAGCUGGUUUGAGAGGAUGAUCAGCCACACUGGGACUGAGACACGGCCCAGACUCCUACGGGAGGCAGCAGUGGGGAAUAUUGGACAAUGGGGGAAACCCUGAUCCAGCCAUGCCGCGUGAGUGAUGAAGGCCUUAGGGUUGUAAAACUCUUUCACCGGUGAAGAUAAUGACGGUAGCCGGAGAAGAAGCCCCGGCUAACUCCGUGCCAGCAGCC
rnacentral:rRNA from 1 species